GUCACGCCCGAAGUCGUUACUCUAACCGGUUACGGAGGAGGGCGCCGAAGGCAGGGCUGAUGACUGGGGUGAAGUCGUAACAAGGUAGCCGUACCGGAAGGUGUGGCUGGAUCACCUCCUUUUAGGGAGACCUACCCUUGAUAACUCCGAACCAUUUUGAAUUAGGAGUAUUGAGCGGUCACUCUAGGUCGGUCAGGGCUUUGGAUAGAGUUUCUAGAUUAUGGUUGAGGUUUUGUCUAACCGACAGAACGCGGGCUAUUAGCUCAGGUGGUUAG
rnacentral:misc_RNA from 1 species